UGCCUGGCCUCUACCGAUAUCCACUUGGGUAGGACCUGAAAUGUCUUCUCAUCACAAAUUUAUGCUCCACAAAUUAGAUCUAAAUCUGAUUAGGAAGAUCUUCAAAAGUCUUCCUAAAGUUGGAACAGCAGCCUGUCGAAGAAGUCCUGCAGCCUUUUGUUCCAAGCGUCACCACGCCUUGGAUCUUUGCCAGAUGGAUGUCCAACUCUUUGGAUAUGAAGAGGGGAGGAAGGAG
rnacentral:lncRNA from 1 species